GGAUGAAUUUGAAUAAUUCUACAAAUUUGGUGCCAAAAUAAGAAUAUUUAAAGAUAUGAGCUAAAAUAUAAUUUCUCUAUAGUUUUGGUUAAAAAAAGAAAGUUACAUAAUAUUGGCAAAAAGCUUAUAUCGAUUCGUACUGUUAUUCUCUUCUUUCUUCUCAAAUCUCAUUCUUCAAAAUUCUGAAAUCAAAUCAAAUCUUCAUCUCCCGCAAGGGUCAUCGCUAUCAGGUAAAUGGGUUUGUGGACAAUACUUGAGGGGUUUCUGCUAAUUGCAAAUGCAUUGGCUAUAUUAAACGAAGACCGUUUUCUUGCACCGAAGGGACUGAGCUUCUCGGAGUUUUCAGUAGGGAAGACAAAGUCAUUGAAGGGACAGUUUAUAGGUCUCAUUUAUGCAACUCAGUACUUAAGAUUUCCUCUCAUUUUGCUUAACUCCAUGUUUGUAUUUGUCAAGUUAGUAUCAGGAUGAUUUUGUUAGAUGUUGAGUAUGAGAACUGAGUUGUGGUGUUGAACAAGAUAUAAUUUUUUAAUUUUGGUUGAAACCAUGUAAUGGUUGAGAUUUUAGUUGCGAACCUCAGAUAUAUCAUGUUGUAAAGCAUUUUUUCAUUUUUACCAAACUUUAGCCAUUAUUAUUUAUUAUUCUCUCUAAUUCUAGAGAUUUUUUCAAA